UAAACUCAAAUGAAUUGACGGGGGCCCGCACAAGCGGUGGAGCAUGUGGUUUAAUUCGAUGCAACGCGAAGAACCUUACCUGGCCUUGACAUCCAAGAAACUUUCCAGAGAUGGAUUGGUGCCUUCGGGAAUUUAGAUACAGGUGCUGCAUGGCUGUCGUCAGCUCGUGUUGUGAAAUGUUGGGUUAAGUCCCGCAACGAGCGCAACCCUUUUCCUUUCUUGCCAGCNUUUAGGCCGGGAACUUCUAAGGAUGACUGCCAGUGACAAACUGGAGGAAGGNGGGGAUGACGUCAAGUCAUCAUGGCCCUUACGGCCAGGGCUACACACGUGCUACAAUGGUGGGUACAAAGGGAAGCNACCCAGCGAGGGCAAGCUGAUCCUCAAAAAGCCGNUCGUAGUCCGGAUUGGAGUCUGCAACUCGACUCCAUGAAGUCGGAAUCGCUAGUAAUCGCGGAUCAGAAUGCCGCGGUGAAUACGUUCCCGGGCCUUGUACACACCGCCCGUCACACCAUGGGAGUUUGUUGCACCAGAAGUAGGUAGUUUAACCUCAAGGAGGACGCUUACCACGGUGUGGUUGAUGACU
rnacentral:rRNA from 1 species